rnacentral:ncRNA from 1 species
UGAAAGAGAAAUAAGGGCGCAUGGUGGAUGCCUAGGGUUCCGAAGGCGAUGAAGGACGUAGCGUGCCUGCGAUAAGCGUCGGGGUGAAACAUCUCAGUAAGCAGAGGAAAAGAAAAGAAGUUAGCACGCGAAUGCUUAUGCGAAUGUAUGCUAAUAGUUUGCGAAUAUUUCAUUCGCAUAUCAUUCGCAAAAAUUCGCAAAUGCAUUUGUGUGCUAUCCAUUCCCUUAGUAGUGGCGAGCGAAAAGGGAUAUAGCCCAGAUCCCGGUUUCCAGAUGAGAUUUUAUUUCGUUUGGAAGCCGGGAAGUUGUAAGAGAUCAGCUAUCGGGGGCUCUUCCAUCGGUUCAGACCGAAUCAAUGGAAGAGUGUCACCCGAGGGAGAACAAAAAGGUGCAAUUUGGUUAGCAGAAUGGCCCUGGAAAGGCCGGCCACAGAAGGUGAGAGCCCUGUACGCAAAAACUAUUGCAUGCUCCUAUGUUGAUCCCGAUGUAAAAGUCGGGGCUCCUACUC